GAAAACACUUUAGAAGAAUAAUGAAACACUGGAGAAGGAUAAAGAACAUCAAAGGAUCAAUCUUCUUUCUGCUGAAGAGGAGGUCAAAUUGCUUUUCGAAGAAAACAAAGUGUUAGAUGAAGCUAACAAAAGAUUACUAAAGCAGUACCGCAAGGAAAGAAACAAUUCUGGUUCUGAUGGAAAGCAUACUGAUGUAUCAACGAAGUCAAACAAGUGAAAAUCUAGCUCUAAGGUGAUGAGCAGCAGCCCGAUUCAGGGGAAGAUCGAUUUCAGUGACCAAGAAUCAGCAAGACAACCUCUCUCACCCUUGGCGUUGUAACUCCCCUAACUCAAGACUGCAUAAAAAGCAAUAGGAAACUUCCAAAAUAGUCUGAUGUAUAUCGCACCUCUCAUUUGUACCUUUUUAUGUACCCAUCAUAUGGGUUGGUUGGCAUAAGAUUGCAGAUUUUCAAAUGACUAACAAAAUUGUUUGUAACUUGUAAGAAUCAUUUGCCAAGUCUUUUUAGUGAAUGACUGGAACACAUAGAUUUACAGUA